AUGAAAGAUUGCUUUGUAAGGGCGUGUUCUUCUAGUUUCAAUGGAAAUAAUGAUGAAGAUCUUAAAGUUAUUGAUGUGUCUCCAAUUAGAUCUUUGUUUUGCAAUAUGAAUCUUGGUAAUAAUGGGACUGGAGAUGAGUCAACUUUAGCUAGAAGGCGUCCCAAGAAUUCGGAGUUUUUAGAUCUUGAUGCUAAAUUUUGUAAAAGUGGGAUUGGAGAGGUCAUAACUUUAAAUAGCAUUGAACCCACUAUCUCGGAUUUCAAGGAAUUUGAUUAUGAUAAUUGUUCUUUAGAAGGUUGUAUUUCCUUGUUGCAAUCCGUUGUUAAUUCUCCUCAUGCUUAUAGUCAAAAUAAAGCUUUUACCAAACAUAUUGUUGAUGCCUUGAUGCAAUCUUAUGAUGAAAAACUUAAUUUGGAAGUUUCUAUACCUAGAAAACUUAAUGAUGAGUGGGAACCUACUAUAAAGAUUAGAAUUAAAGAUCAUGAGUGUUAUGCUUUGUGUGAUUUGGGUGCUAGUGUUUCCACAAUUCCGAAAACUUUAUGUGAUAUUCUAGGUUUCCAUGAUCUUGAUGAUUGCUCUUUAAAUUUGUACCUUGCGGAUUCCACCAUUAAAAAGCCAAUUGGAAGGAUCAAUGAUGUUCACAUUGUUGGAAAUAGAAAUUUGGUGCCCGUAGAUUUUAUCGUUCUUGAUAUAGAUUGCAAUCUUUCUUGCCCUAUUAUUCUUGGUAGACCUUUCCUUAGAACGAUUAGUGCGAUUAUUGAUAUGAAGGAAGAGAAUAUUAGAUUCCAAUUUACAUUAAGGAAAUGCAUGGAGCACUUUCCAAGAAAGAAAGUCAAAUUACCUUAUGAAUCUAUCAUGCGAGCUACUUAUGAAUUGAGUGCCAAAGAUGGCACCACUUAG
rnacentral:rRNA from 1 species